rnacentral:lncRNA from 1 species
AUCAUCCCUCUUCUUCAUAUUCAGGAAAUCGACUGAAUUCUUGCUGCGGUGGGCAGGACUGAAAUAUUGCCCCAAGAAGAGGGUCUUAAACUGCUCCCACGACAUAUUCAGCGCAUCCUCAACAUUCCUGCUGGCAAGCGACCACCAGUGAUGUGCUGAAUCAUCCAGGAAAGUUACUGCCAUCUUCACCUUGCUUUCUUCUGGCAACUCUGUGCUCGCAAAAGCCUUUUCCAUUUUGUCCACCCAAGUAUAAGCAUCGAGGGGUCCCUUGGCACCCUUGAACUCUCUUGCUCCAGCCUCAUAAACUUCUCUCCUCUUCACUGUAUGAGGUUGUGGAGCUUGAUCCAUGACAUCCCUCAGCAUAUUUCCAAUAUCAUCAACCAGUCCCCUGACCUCAUUGCCCUCAUCGGCAUUGGUCGAAGUAGCCACACGGGGUUGCUGUGGGCGCCGAGGAGGCAUAGCACCUGAGGAAGAAGAUAUUUAGUAGUCCAUAAACAAGACUAACACAAUAAUCACAUAUAGCCAAUAACACAUAGCAUCAAAAGCAUAAAAUGUCAAUGAAUCCGCCGCGGUCGGAUCACCACUCUAUAGACACUACGUGCUACUUAGGCAAAUAUGAUAGAGAUAAGGAAGCAGGAAAAAGAAACCUAUAGCUCUGAUACCAACUGACACGACCCACCCCGAAUUUCACCCUGAAACCCAGAGUAAGUCGUGCGGGGACCACCUCCAAGGAAAAUUUACUGAAAAGAUUAAGAAAAUCUCCUUUGCAGAUGGACAACCCUAACUCGAAAAUUUCAUAUUACACUCUUAAUUUAACACUUCUGAACAUCACAUAAUAUACAAAAAUUCUAAAGUAUUCAGAGCUACUAAACACAAGCGGAAGCAAGAAAACACGAGUAGGUUAAACGGGUAACCUACUGGCGAAAACUGGCAGAAAUGCGGGUGACUAUGCCUCGUCUCCUACUAGAUCCAACCCGAACUCUGCAAACUGGGCAAUUUAAAACGAAGGGCCCAGGGGAAAACAUUUAAUAACGUUAGAGUGAGUGGACAAAAUAAAAUAAUAAAUAAAAUAUUUAUGUUUCCCUAAAUUAAUUGGUAAGGAAAAAUCGAAUGCAUGCCGCAAGCGAUAAAACUUUUAUCCCAUAAAAUAUCGAGCCUCUCAGACUCUAUAAAAUAUGUAUGUAUUUACACUCGUCCAUACUCCCUAUAUAAAUUCAUGGGUCUAUAUAGGGCUACUACGCUCGCGUCCAACGCUCACGUCACGCCUUAAUGCGGUGCUACACUACGCCAUCAAGGUGGACAGACGGGUGUAUAAAUAUGUCGCCCAUACCCACUAUAUGAAUUAAACACUCAUAUAGGGCUACUACGCUUACGUCCAACGCUCACGUCACACCAUAAUGCGGCUAUAUGCUACGCCAUUAAGGUGGACAGACACAUAUGGCUAGCUAGUCUUUUAUAUACAUACUCCCUCAUAAAUACAUAUUUAUAUUCACCGAAAAUCCCAUUUUCGGUAACUCUCUCAGAGAAAUAAAAGCGUCAAAAUUAAUUGACGGUAAAACUCCAACAAAAGGAAAUGUUCAAUCAUGAACCNNNNNNNNNNNNNNNNNNNNGAAUUAACACUCAAUAGGCUACUACGCUUACGUCUAACGCUCACGUCACACCAUAAUGCGGCUAUAUGCUACGCCAUUAAGGUGGACAGACACAUAUGGCUAGCUAGCAUUUUCUAUACAUACUCUCUCAUAAAUACAUAUUUAUAUCCACCGAAAAUCCCAUUUUCGGUAUCUCUCCAAGAGAAAUAAAAAUCGUCAAAAAUUAAAAUGACGUCAAAAUACUCCACGACAUUAAUUAUUCAAUCGUGAACUUUAGCAUGCAUUUAUUUAAAAUAAACGUCCACUCACAAAUUAGGCCUAAGCCUGUUGUCGAUCUGGGGUCUCGUCUGCUCGAGCCUCCUCACGUCCUGUUCCAAAUAAAAUAUUAAUUUCCCAACCAAUAAUCCAAUAUUUAAUCAAAAUAGGCAAAAUUACCCGAGAGCCAUAAAUACGCUCAUCAUUGCCUAACUUCGAUAUUCUUAAAUCGGAACGAUCCGAACUUAAAUAUCAUACUCAACAGUCGCAAAUACAACCUCUCCAAAAUACGACUUAAAUCCUACGGCCGGAUUUGGCAGCAUCAUCCUCUCAACCUCCUCUACAACAUUCCUAACUACCACAAACUCCAAUUCUAAGCCUAACCAUGUCGAUCGAACACAAACAACCAUAAAUCCCUAAAACUUUCAAUUAAACAAACCUCCCUAACGAAAUCGAAUUUAGCCGAAACCUUUUGAGGGAUUACUCACCUAGAUGAGGGCUACAAGUUGAGCCAAAAAUCACGACCUAUGGUGGCCGGAAGACAGAGCUCCGGCGAAGGACCCUUUCCGGCAGUCGAACCUUUCGGGGUUGACCGCUCCUUCACGGCGGCGUUCCGGGCGCGUGCACCGGUCCAGGAUGAGAGAGGAAGAGGCAAGGGUCCGAACGGGAUCAGUCUGGCGGUCGGUGGUGGCCGGAUGGCGGCGGACGGCGGUGGUGAAAUUUCCGGGUGGAGAGAGGAGAAAAUCGGGUGGGAGGAGAGAGAAUCGGGAGAGAGGGAGAAGAGAAAAAGGGUUUUGGGCCUCACCCCAAACCGGUCCACAACACUUAACCCAAUCUUCCAAAAAUAAAAACACCCCGAAAAAAUAAUACCCGAAUAAAAAUUACCUUUUACUAGCUAAAAUUUACCAUUUUUACCGUGGUCGUAUUUUCCUCAUACGAAUAAUCCUCCGCACAUAAUCGUCCCCGAAACCCCUCUAGGGACCAAUUAAACUAUUUACUCAAUGACGGAGACGGUAAAAUUCUUAUUAUAAUCAGGCUAGUAAAUAAGGUAAAAAUAUAAGGGUCGGGAUGUGACACCUUCAGCCUAUAAAUAAAGCCUUUAGUUGCUGCAAAAACACACAACUCAAGCAGCAGAACAUACAACCCGAAGUAAUACAUCCUAGAUCACAUAAGCAAGCCUCAAGCAUCAAGCCAAGCAUCCCUAGCCUCCAAUCCAAAACCAUUCUCAAGCUCUAUACACUCCUAAACCCAUCAAACACCACCAGAUCAUUUUUCUCCUCACUGCAAUAGAUUACCCCGCAACAAACCUUUAGCCAUAGCAAUUUCUCAUCUUCUGCAACUCAUGUGCUUCUAGCUCCCACGCCUCAUGCCAUCUUGCAAGCUCUUUCAUGUAUUUUGUUCAUCUAUCAUGCAGUCAAAACCACAUCAAGUUCAUGCCUCCAGAUGUCACACCCCGGUUCUUAAGUUAUUUUACGGUUAUUUACUUUGGUGUUAUUUUGGUCUUUUACCGUGUUAAGUAACCGUUUACUACUUAAGGAUCCAAAAGUUGACUUUUUCUUCCGUUUGGAAUUUGGGAAAACUUCCUUCAUGAAAGUUGUAGAGGACAUUAAACGGAGUUCGUGGACACGAGGCACGCUUAAAUCGGAGUUCGUAUGAAGAAGUUAUGGUCUAAAAACGAAAGUUACUAUAUUGGUAAAAGGAGGUAAAUUCUAGUAGGUUUUAUUGUGUGGGUGUUUUAAGUUUGGACCGGGUCAAGAGGGGGGUCAAAGCCCAGCCACUCUCUCUCUCUCNNNNNNNNNNNNNNNNNNNNUCCCCUCUCUCUCUCUCUCUCUCUCUCUCUCUCUCUCUCUCUCUCUCUCUCUCUCUCUCUCUCUCUCUCUCUCUCUCUUCCCUCUUCCCCGAGCCCUCUCCCGCCGAAAGCUUUCCCAGCGUCGCCUGCUGCCGUCCGGCCACCGGAGAUCGCCGCACCUGUCCCAAACGGUCGGCCGUCGACCCAGCUCUCUUCUUGGACCGGUGGGAGCCGCCCUAGCGCCGUUGUGAGGGAGGAAGAGCUCUCGGAAGGUCCGACUGCGUGAUGGAGUCCCGACGCCGGAACUCACUCCUCCGACCACCAUUUCCGGUGAUUUCAGUCCCAUUUGGAAGUACUCUCCGUGUUUAACAAUUCCCUAGAAGGUAAUGAUCCAAUUCGAAGUGUGUAGGAGGAUUUUCGGGCUAGGGUUUGAAUUGGGGGAUUUUUAGAUGUUUUGAUUCGAUUACCCUAGUUAGGCUUAGAAUUGGGCUAAGUGCUGGUCAUUAAAGUUGUUUGGGAUGUUGAGGGGAAGAUGCUGUUAAAAUUUGGUAGCCAUUGGGGGUCGCCGGAGUCGGCCGCCGGCCGCCGCUACCGGCGGAGCAGACGGCGGCGCCACCACUUGGAGGUUGAUUUUCAGGUUUUUGGGUUUGUUAUAAUGAGAGGAGUCUAAUGAAGUAUAGUUUGGAAUUUUUGGAGGAGUUUUGAUAAGGUUUGAGAUUUUUAAAAGAUUAAGGAUUUUGCCAGUUGUUAGAAUGAAAAUCCGGCCGUUGGAUUUCCUUGGUAUUUAUUAUACAAUGUUAGAAUUGAUGAAUUAAGGUUGUGGUGGAGUUUGGUGUGAAUUCGGCGAGUUUAACCCUGUUAAGAAUAGUGGGUUAAACGGAAGAGAGUUAGAUGUUUUAUUCACGUAUUUAUUUUCUAUAAUCGAAGAGUGGUUCUACGCAUUUUUAUUGUGUCAGGAUACGAGGGGAUCCUCGCUUCAGUGGCGAUGCGGAUAUCGCUGGGCUUAUGCCUAAAGUUGUGAGUGGACAUUUUGGUUUUAAAUAAAUACGCAUGCUAGAUUUAAUAAUCUAUCAUUUUAUUUUCCAAGCAUAUAUGAUAAUAUUCAACUCAUGGGAUGAUCUUGAAAAUUAUUUGAGUUUGGUGCAUUGAUUAAGUGUUGAUCAUGAUAUAUGGAUUUGAGCUCGGAUUAUUAUUUUGAUAUUUGAGACGGGAUAUUCCUUAUAAAUUUCGGAUUUCAGUAUAAUGGUUUUAUUGGUGGACUUUGAGAUUUUCUUUAAAAGAUUUUCGAAAAUGGGAUUUUCGGUAGUUUUCCAUCAUAAUUUAAUUGUUUAUUUGAGGCAUAUUAAUUUUGACUUGGAGAAUAUUUUAGCGAGUAUUUUCGUGUGGAGAUAUUAUUAUUUAUGAAUUAUAUUUGAUAUUGAAAUCUCGCUUAUAUUUAUAAAUUUGAGAAGAUUUUGACGUGUGAGACAUGUCAUUGAGUUUAUUAUAAUUUCUUAUGAUAAUUUUCAAGUACGGUUGGGAACCGUACCUUUCGUAUGAUCUUGGGGAAGAUUAUUGGAUUUAAGUGUUUUUGUAUGUUUUGGUCACCAUAAGAUAGGGUCACUUAUAUUGAUUACUGCUAGCUAACCUUAUUAGCGGUCCUCAUCAUAUGUGAGUUGCUAUUAUGCCCUUAUUAGCGGUCGUCUUCAUAUGUGAGUAGAGCGCUUAGCGUGGUACACUAUUAUAGCCUGGGAGGCAACCGAUCGGUAUUUAUAUUUAUUAGCUAGCUAGCCAUUAUUAGUGGUCCUCAUCAUAUGUGAGUUGAACGCUUAGCGUGAGACGCUAUUAUAGACUUAUUAGCGGUCCUCCUCAUAUGGGAGUUGAGCGCUUAGUGUGGGACGCUAUUAUAGCCUGGGAGGCAUCGCCCCGAGUCUUAGAGGCUCCUUUUUUCAUGGUGAUAACUCUCCCCCUUAUUUUAUUCUUCUCAAUAAUAUACUUGAUUAACCAGCGGGGCUAGUUUAUCUUCUCGUAUGAGAUUUUUGUUUUGUUUAACCAGCGGGGCUGGUUUGUCCUUUAUUAAGUGAUUUUGGAUUUAAAGUUUUAAGCACGUUUAAGUUGCAUGCUGUUAAGUUUUAAAAGUUGAAAAGUGGGAAAGUAUAUAAGAUUUAUAAUUGUUAAGUUAUUGAAUUUAUUUUCAUCCACUCACUCUAACGUUUUUUAAAUUACUUUCCCUUGGGCCCCUUGGUUUAUAAAUGCCCAGUUUUCAGCCUAAGUUAUUUGAGGUCGAGCGUACAUGGAGUCGAGGCAUAAUCAGAGGCUGCUUCCGCUUAUUCGUUUUCAUUGUUUUUAUUCAUCAUUAGAUAUGCUCUGAAAGUCUAGUAGUAGCUUAUUAAAUGUCUUUGUUGUUGGUUGUGGAAUUAUUAUUAGAUGAGAAAUUGUUAUUGGGAGUUUUGAUGAACUUGGAGAGCGGGAAGGGUCUAGAAGAUGAGGAUGGAUGUUUGAUUAUAGAAGUGUUAAGUUGGAUUUUUCAAGAAAGGGUAGUCCAUUUUCAAGGAAGGUUAUGCCGAAUUUUCGGUAAAUUUUCCUUGAAGGUGGACCUCGUAGGAUUUACCACGGGUUUCGGGGUGAAAUUCGGGGUGGGUCCUAACACCAGAUCACAAACAACAUGUCACCGCAGCAGGCUAUCAUCCCCGUAACAAACCAAUAUUACUACAAGGGAGAUCCUGGGGAAAACAUGCACAAAAGCUUCAAGGAGCUUUGGGCCCAGUUCUGGAACUCAGAAGGGGUAGAAAGAGGAAAUCAAGCAGCCUCUAUCCAAAAUGACCCCAACAAUUACUCAUUGAUCAGUUCAGCCAUGAAGAUGCUAUGUCACAUCCCGACCCUUACAUUUUUACCUUAUUUACUAGCUUGGUUAUAAUAAGAAUUUUACCGUCUCCGUCAAUGAAUUUAUAGUUUAAUUGGUCCCUAGAGGGGUUUGGGGGACGGUUAUUUUCGGAGGAUUAUUCGUAGGAGAAAAUUUUUUACGACGGUAAAAAUGGUAAAUUUUAGCUAGUAAAAGGUAAUUUUUAUUAGAGUAUUAUUUUUUUGGGUGUUUUAUUUUGGAGUUGGGUUGGUAUAAGGGUGUUGGACCGGGUUGGUGGAGGCCCAAGUCCUAUUUUUCUCUUCUCUCUUCUUCUUCUCUCCCUCCCGACCUCUCCCGCUUGUAGUUAGGCUUGGAAUUGGUGUUUGUGCUAGUUAGGAAAAUUGUAGAGGGAG